ensembl:snRNA U6 U6 spliceosomal RNA
GUGCUCACUUCAGUAGCAUAUAUACUAAAAUUGGCAUGAUACAGACAAGAUUAGCAUGGCCCCAUGCAAGGAUGAGCAAAUUCAUGAAACAUUGCAUAUUUUU